rnacentral:rRNA from 1 species
CCUACGGGGGGCUGCAGUGAGGAAUAUUGGUCAAUGGACGAGAGUCUGAACCAGCCAAGUAGCGUGAAGGAUGACUGCCCUAUGGGUUGUAAACUUCUUUUAUAUGGGAAUAAAAUGUUCCACGUGUGGGAUUUUGUAUGUACCAUAUGAAUAAGGAUCGGCUAACUCCGUGCCAGCAGCCGCGGUAAUACGGAGGGUCCGAGCGUUAUCCGGAUUUAUUGGGGUUAAAGGGAGCGUAGGUGGAUUGUUAAGUCAGUUGUGAAAGUUUGCGGCUCAACCGUAAAAUUGCAGUUGAAACUGGCAGUCUUGAGUACAGGAGAGGUGGGCGGAAUUCGUGGUGUAGCGGUGAAAUGCUUAGAUAUCACGAAGAACUCCGAUUGCGAAGGCAGCUUACUGGACUGCAACUGACACUGAGGCUCGAAAGUGUGGGUAUCAAACAGGAUUAGAUACCCUAGUAGUC